GGCUCUUUGAAAUUAAUAUAUAAAGAGUCGAGCCUGCCCAGUGAUAAAAUUUAAACGGCCGCGGUACUCUGACCGUGCGAAGGUAGCAUAAUCAUUUGCCCUAUAAUUGAGGGCUUGUAUGAAUGGUUUGACAAGAGCAUAACUGUCUCCUUAAAAUUUUAUAGAAUUUGGUUUUUAGGUGAAGAAACCUAAAUAUAAUUGAAAGACAAGAAGACCCUAUCGAGCUUUAGACUAAUUAAUUAAAAAAUAUAGUUAAAACAAUUAAUUUUAAUUAAAAACUUUGGUUGGGGCGACUGAGGAACAUAUAAAGCUUCCUUAAUCAAAAUAUGCUAAUAAGCAAUGAUCCAAAAAAAUUUGAUUAAGAAAAUUAGUUACCGUAGGGAUAACAGCAUAAUCUUUUUUGAGAGCUCUCAUCGAAAAAAAGGUUUGUGACCUCGAUGUUGGACUAGGAUAUCCUAACAGAUGCAGAAGUCUUUAAGGGUUGGUCUGUUCGACCAUUAAAAUCCU
rnacentral:rRNA from 1 species